UACGUAGGGUGCGAGCGUUAAUCGGAAUUACUGGGCGUAAAGCGCGCGCAGGCGGUCCUUUAAGUCUGAUGUGAAAGCCCACGGCUCAACCGUGGAGGGUCAUUGGAAACUGGGGGACUUGAGUGCAGAAGAGGAGAGUGGAAUUCCACGUGUAGCGGUGAAAUGCGUAGAGAUGUGGAGGAACACCAGUGGCGAAGGCGACUCUCUGGUCUGUAACUGACGCUGAGGCGCGAAAGCGUGGGGAGCAAACAGG
rnacentral:rRNA from 1 species